rnacentral:rRNA from 1 species
GGCCACACCUGUUCCCAUUCCGAACACAGAAGUUAAGCUCCCACGCGCCGACAAUACUUGGCUGGCAACGGCCUGGGAAGAUAGGUCACUGCCGGAU